rnacentral:rRNA from 1 species
ACGUAGGUGGCAAGCGUUGUCCGGAAUCAUUGGGCGUAAAGAGCGCGUAGGUGGCUUGUCAUGUCGGGUGUGAAAUUUCGGGGCUCAACCCCGAACCUGCAUCGGAAACCGGGUGGCUCGAGUCUGGGAGAGGUGAGUGGAACUCCUGGUGUAGCGGUGAAAUGCGUAGAUAUCAGGAGGAACACCGGUAGCGAAGGCGGCUCACUGGAACAGAUCUGACGCUGAGGCGCGAAAGCGUGGGGAGCAAACAG